rnacentral:rRNA from 1 species
CAGCCGCCGCGGGAAUACGAAGGGUGCAAGCGUUAAUCGGAAUUACUGGGCGUAAAGCGUGCGUAGGCGGUGAGUUAAGUCUGCUGUGAAAUCCCCGGGCUCAACCUGGGAAUGGCAGUGGAUACUGGCUCGCUAGAGUGUGUCAGAGGAUGGUGGAAUUCCCGGUGUAGCGGUGAAAUGCGUAGAGAUCGGGAGGAACAUCAGUGGCGAAGGCGGCCAUCUGGGACAACACUGACGCUGAGACACGAAAGCGUGGGGAGCAAACAGGAUUAGAUACCCCAGUAGUCCCUGUCUCUUAUAC